UACGUAGGGUGCAAGCGUUGUCCGGAAUUAUUGGGCGUAAAGAGCUCGUAGGCGGUCUGUCGCGUCUGCUGUGAAAAACUCGGGGCUUAACCCCCGGGCCUGCAGUGGGUACGGGCAGACUAGAGUGCGGUAGGGGGAGACUGGAAUUCCUGGUGUAGCGGUGAAAUGCGCAGAUAUCAGGAGGAACACCAGCGGCGAAGGCGGCGCUCUGGGCCGGUACUGACACUGAGGAGCGAAAGCUAGGGGAGCGAACAGG
rnacentral:rRNA from 1 species